rnacentral:rRNA from 1 species
AGUCAUUAAAUCAGUUAUCGUUUAUUUGAUAGUACCUUACUACAUGGAUAACCGUGGUAAUUCUAGAGCUAAUACAUGCUAAAAACCUCGACUUCGGAAGGGGUGUAUUUAUUAGAUAAAAAACCAAUGCCCUUCGGGGCUCCCUGGUGAUUCAUAAUAACUUAACGAAUCGCAUGGCCUUGUGCCGGCGAUGGUUCAUUCAAAUUUCUGCCCUAUCAACUUUCGAUGGUAGGAUAGUGGCCUACCAUGGUUUCAACGGGUAACGGGGAAUUAGGGUUCUAUUCCGGAGAAGGAGCCUGAGAAACGGCUACUACAUCCAAGGAAGGCAGCAGGCGCGCAAAUUACCCAAUCCCGACACGGGGAGGUAGUGACAAUAAAUACUGAUACAGGGCUCUUUUGAGUCUUGUAAUUGGAAUGAGUACAAUUUAAAUACCUUAACGAGGAACAAUUGGAGGGCAAGUCUGGUGCACG